rnacentral:rRNA from 1 species
AGCUCCAAUAGCGUAUAUUAAAGCUGUUGCGGUUCAAAAGCUCGUAGUUGGGUUUCUGUCAAGGACAACUGGUCCGCCCUCCGGGUGAGCACAUAGUUUGGUCUUGGCAUCUUGUUCAAAACUGUUACUGCGCUUGGUUGCGUGGCGCAGUUUUGCGCACUUUCACUUUGAGGAAUUUGGAGUGUUUCAAGCAGGCACAUGCCUUUGGACACAGUAGCAUGGAAUAAUAAGCUUGGGCUUUUGCUCCAACUUGUCGGUUCGUGGAGCUGAGGUGAGAAUCAAUGGGGAUUGUUGGGGGCAUCUGAAUUUAGCCGUCAGAGGUGAAAUUCUUGGAUCUGCCAAAGACGGACAACUGCGAAAGCGUUUGCCCAGGAUGUUUUCA